GAUGAACGCUGGCGGCGUGCCUAAUACAUGCAAGUCGAGCGAACGGACGAGAAGCUUGCUUCUCUGAUGUUAGCGGCGGACGGGUGAGUAACACGUGGAUAACCUACCUAUAAGACUGGGAUAACUUCGGGAAACCGGAGCUAAUACCGGAUAAUAUUUUGAACCGCAUGGUUCAAAAGUGAAAGACGGUCUUGCUGUCACUUAUAGAUGGAUCCGCGCUGCAUUAGCUAGUUGGUAAGGUAACGGCUUACCAAGGCAACGAUGCAUAGCCGACCUGAGAGGGUGAUCGGCCACACUGGAACUGAGACACGGUCCAGACUCCUACGGGAGGCAGCAGUAGGGAAUCUUCCGCAAUGGGCGAAAGCCUGACGGAGCAACGCCGCGUGAGUGAUGAAGGUCUUCGGAUCGUAAAACUCUGUUAUUAGGGAAGAACAUAUGUGUAAGUAACUGUGCACAUCUUGACGGUACCUAAUCAGAAAGCCACGGCUAACUACGUGCCAGCAGCCGCGGUAAUACGUAGGUGGCAAGCGUUAUCCGGAAUUAUUGGGCGUAAAGCGCGCGUAGGCGGUUUUUUAAGUCUGAUGUGAAAGCCCACGGCUCAACCGUGGAGGGUCAUUGGAAACUGGAAAACUUGAGUGCAGAAGAGGAAAGUGGAAUCCCAUGUGUAGCGGUGAAAUGCGCAGAGAUAUGGAGGAACACCAGUGGCGAAGGCGACUUUCUGGUCUGUAACUGACGCUGAUGUGCGAAAGCGUGGGGAUCAAACAGGAUUAGAUACCCUGGUAGUCCACGCCGUAAACGAUGAGUGCUAAGUGUUAGGGGGUUUCCGCCCCUUAGUGCUGCAGCUAACGCAUUAAGCACUCCGCCUGGGGAGUACGACCGCAAGGUUGAAACUCAAAGGAAUUGACGGGGACCCGCACAAGCGGUGGAGCAUGUGGUUUAAUUCGAAGCAACGCGAAGAACCUUACCAAAUCUUGACAUCCUUUGACAACUCUAGAGAUAGAGCCUUCCCCUUCGGGGGACAAAGUGACAGGUGGUGCAUGGUUGUCGUCAGCUCGUGUCGUGAGAUGUUGGGUUAAGUCCCGCAACGAGCGCAACCCUUAAGCUUAGUUGCCAUCAUUAAGUUGGGCACUCUAAGUUGACUGCCGGUGACAAACCGGAGGAAGGUGGGGAUGACGUCAAAUCAUCAUGCCCCUUAUGAUUUGGGCUACACACGUGCUACAAUGGACAAUACAAAGGGCAGCGAAACCGCGAGGUCAAGCAAAUCCCAUAAAGUUGUUCUCAGUUCGGAUUGUAGUCUGCAACUCGACUACAUGAAGCUGGAAUCGCUAGUAAUCGUAGAUCAGCAUGCUACGGUGAAUACGUUCCCGGGUCU
rnacentral:rRNA from 1 species